ACAGCCUGUAUGAUUGCUGACACAAUUUGCAUCGCGCAGUGAUCGCCGCGAGCCGGUUUAUAUAUUGGCGUCGCGAUCCUUUGCCUAAACACUGCGCGUGGAACUGCGGCCUGUUGACAGUUACAAUAUUAAUCGCGACUGAAGAAGUGUUCACGUAUAAUAUUUGAUUUAUUUGAACGUUCGCACAGUACAUACCAGACGCUCGAUAGUGAUUUUAACCUCCGGCUACUUUUGCAAAAUUUUAUUUAACAGAAAGAUAAUUUCUAUACCAAGUAAGAUAUACCAGCAAAAAUCGGGUCAUCGGUACACCAAAGCUAAACGGCAAGUUAUCUCAGUGCACGGGUAUACAAGUCACAUGGUAUGCAGUCUGCACCAGGAUGGCGCUAUCCUAUCUACAUCAAGCCAAGCUUGCAUGGCGCCCAAUCUUCGCUGAAGUCACAAAGUAACACAAUAUGUUUACUUUAAUGUAAUAUUGAAGACGACAGUCACUGACCGCUGUUAGUAAAACAAAAGACAAAUCCUUGGGACGAGCUGCCUAUCUAAGCAGUCCAUAUGGUCACACUGUUGAUUCUACUACUCAAUGGACAGUGGUGUACCAAGCUCCAAUGAAACCCAGCCACAACAUCAGUACAUCUAUCAUAUUUACGACGUCCGCAGAAUCAGAAGCUAACGUUUAAUCCAUCAAGUAUUUCCAGACCGACAUUGCAGUACAAGCUGCAGCUUUCCAAAAUGGACACAAUUAAUAGAUGCAAGAAUACACACCGUUCAUGGUUGGUAUGGAUUAUACAGAUGACUCGGACUGUUAUGGACUUUUUAUAUCAGACACCUCUGGCUGCUCUUAAGAUCUGACAAAAAGGCAAUCUCAAUUGUAAGCUGAGUUGUCACAA